rnacentral:lncRNA from 1 species
GUCCGAACCCAGUUGAGUGGAGUUAAUCCCAGCAGGCCCAAUUAAUACUAAAUUAGGCCCAGUAAAUUGACAGAGGACCCAAUUGGCUAGAAAAGAUUGGACCCAAUUAUAAACGAGGCCCAAUCCUUCAAUUGAAAACCCAAUCAACCCAUGUGGGCCCAAUCUGGUGUUAAAUCGAACUCCAAAGGCUUCAAAUUGGACUUUGGCUAGAUCCUUGGAUGGGAUCCAAGCAAGUAAGUUCAUAGUAUGAUGAACUAAGAGAUUUUAUAAUAAAUAAAUGGGGAAUAAUGUAAACCCUAUGAUGUUGUUUUAGGUGAUUAAGGAUUUGUCACCUGGACUUGAGCAAUUUGGAAAGCGAAUUGAGGUAAGUAAUCUAUCUUAAUCUUAUCGUAGAUCUUGUAUUACGUUUUAUAAGAUGAACCAGU